UCAAGUUUAAAAUCCAUAAACCGAUGAAAACAUAUUUAAACAAUGUUAACCUUUUUAUUAAAAGAAUAAUGAAACAACCUCUACAGUUCAAUUCCAUAAUAAAAUAAAUGCUACUAUUUUGUAUCAUGUAAUAAUAACUGUAUAUAUGAUUUUUACAACAAAUACUAGAAUAAAGGCAACAACAGAGUAAUAUCCAAAUAGAUGAUACGGAUCUGCUCAUGACUCACUGGUUCAGGAUCACCUACAGCCACAAUCAGAGCCUUCAAUUACCACCGGAAGUUGAUAGCCAGGACCAAAACCACUUUCUCAGAAUUCCCCGUGACUCAACUAGUAAUUUUCCCAGCAUUAUCACAAUACGGGCCAGUGGCAGGAUGACGCAUAACUCAGGCACGUAUCCCAGACGUACGCCAUCAGCUGCUUCACCAAACCAGUCUUACUACGCGCAGACCGAUGCAUCACCAAAAACCAGUUCUCAAAUCAAAUCUGUCCAUUGCUGCCAGUGUCUUUUAUAAUGUUUUCAGUGGAAAUAACCGUUUUGGAACAACCGUUCAAGUAAAAAAGUAGAUUUUGCAAAAAAAUGUAUACCUAUCUGUUUGUGAGUGUGGGAUGCGGAAGGAAAUGCUAUUCUGUUCCACACUAGUGGGGUCUCAAGACAGACGAGAUUCAGACCUGGCAAAGUGAAAAAUUUUAGUCAGGAUUAUGGGAAUCAGUUUGUUUGAUUUAGGAUGUGGAAUGAAGUGUUAUCUGUUUCACGCUGGCAUACCUGGCAAAGUGACAAAUUUUAGUUACGAGACAAUACAAACACUACUAUGUAAUUUGAAAAUGUUGCUGUGGAAAUUAACACAACAUAAAAUUAUUCAAACACUUUCAUCAACUGAUAUUAUUUCAAACCAAAUUUCUAUAGAGCAUUAUGUCAUCUGAGAGUUUUAGUAACUUUGUGAAGAACAUACUUAAUGGAUGUGAAAAUGAAGUGAGAGAUGGUAACUUUGAGGAUAAUAUUUUUGAGGAAAGAGGUGAUGAAGAAAUUCAAGAAAAUUAUGUGACAAGGUCUAAUCUUCAAACUUGUACUAUUACAAAUGUACCAACAAAUUUAAUUUAAUUCAUGAGUUGUUCAAAAAAUUGUAAGUUUUUAUUAUAAUAUGUUUGUAUGCAACUUUAUAUAUUGUUCCAUGUGUAAGUAGGAAUAAAUUUAACUUAUAAAGUUUCAAAAAAGUAAGUUUCUGUAAUACUGAUUAUGACUUUUCUGAUAUGUCAGUGAAAAAUAUUUAAAAUCUGCACUCUCAUAAAAGUUGUCUCUCGUAUUUGGUGAAUAGCUUUUACCAACUGUAAUAAAUCAAAUCAAGAUAGAUAAUCUUAGUUUGUUUUAUUUACUAUGUAUAAAAUGAGAUUAAGUACAAUGCUACAUGCCAAAAGUUAGUAACAUAAGAAUAAACAUUUGAAAAGACGA